AUCAGAUAUUACCUGCUUGACAACCAGAAUGUUUGCCAGGUAUCAAGAGUGAUGAAUAUACAGCAACCAGUUAGGUUAAUCAUUUUUAUUUAUCAGCAAAAAAAGGCUUACUGUGCUGUUCCAUGUCAAUAUGCUACUGGUGUAACAUCAAGUGAGGACUAUAUUCAGACAUUUCCAAAUCUGUCUGGAUCCUCUCUGUGAUACACAUACAGGUGUGACAAGCAUAAAGUAGAUCUGUGCCACUGAGAAAGAGGUGGCACAGGUUGCCCCACAUUGUGAGAGCUAAAGGGCUCCUCAACGUGAAGUGAGUGUCCUGGGAGUGAAUUGCUCUGAAACCAGUGACCCGCUAUUCAUACCCUUUCAAGACAGCAUUUUCUACCAACACCACGUUCAGCAUGCUUCCAAAGGGCACCAAGGCCAUGGGAACACUGGAAUGGGAUAGUGCCUUUCCACCCUACCUCCUGCUGCUCCUCAUCCCAUUAAAGAGCCCUUCUAGCUGUGACGUGGCUGGCAGCAUGCAAGGGACUUUGCCAAGUGCAAAGCAGCAACAGGGAGACGGUGGCGCAUCUGAGGAUGGCCAAGUUCAGCUGUGGGGACAGUCUGCAGCCAGUAGAUCUGUGCUGGGGGAACAGACGCUGAAAAUGUAUAUUGGGAUUUCAAUUUUAUUUGAAGAAACAAAAAAGAUUUCACCACGGGGUUGCUGUAUGUCUUGCACAGCAUUCUGAUUUUUCUUUUUUUUCUUUUCUUUUCUUCCCUUUUUUUUUUUUUUUUUUUUUUUUUGAGGGAGCCCUUUGUUGAAAUCUUGGCAGCCCAUCUCUGCCAGGAAGACAGAACUGCUCUGUGCUGAAGCUGAGCUUGGCACGUCUUCUUUGCAGCAUGUGGGGCGUGCAAGGCAGUGGGGAAGGCUGCCAUCUCAUGGUGAGCCUUGCAUGCUAAGCUAGCCUACCUUGCACUGGCUUCCAGGCCAGGUUGCCCCUCAGCAGAUGUUUUCUCAAUAAAUUAUGCGUGCAGUCCCAGAAGAAGCCAGGUUAUUUUAACCUGAGCUUUGUGCUUUAGCUUCUAGACCAACUCUGCCAGAGCACGGAGUUGUCUGGUUUCUUGCCUUUUCC
ensembl:lncRNA